GCGUGUGUAGUUCAGUGGUAGAACGCUGUCCUGAUAAGACAGAGGCCGAAAGUUCGAUUCUUUCCACACGCA
rnacentral:tRNA from 1 species